rnacentral:rRNA from 1 species
CGGUAGCCGCGGUAAUACGAAGGGUGCAAGCGUUACUCGGAAUUACUGGGCGUAAAGCGUGUGUAGGUGGUGGUUUAAGUCCGUUGUGGAAGCCCUGGGCUCAACCUGGGAAUUGCAGUGGAUACUGGGUCACUAGAGUGUGGUAGAGGAUAGUGGAAUUUCCGGUGUAGCGGUGAAAUGCGUAGAGAUCGGGAGGAACAUCAGUGGCGAAGGCGGCCAUCUGGGACAACACUGACGCUGAGGCACGAAAGCGUGGGGAGCAAACAGGAUUAGAUACCCCGGUAGUCCCUGUCUCUUAUAA